CGGCGAGUCAAGCGUGAAUAUCAAUCUCCCUACAUCAGUGUCAUCAGAUGACUUUGACUGAGUUGAGGCGGGCUCAUUAGAGCGCUGGAGCAGGGUGCCGCAGGCCGCAAUAACAUCCAGGUGGAGGGCUCUGAAGCUGCCUGGCUUACCUGUAUCUCCAGCUUCAUCAACCUCCUGAUGAAACCCAUACUGGCCCUUCUACUGAUAAGAUUAUUCAAAGGCCUUUUUGGAGCGUAUGCCAGGUCUCAC